AGAACAGUAACUGCUCUCGCUGGAAGAGUGAAGGAUACUGUCGUCACAGUUACGUGAAAUACAUGGCGAAAAAUUGUCCAAAGAGCUGCAACAAAUGCUGAUGUAAGGUUAUCAAGUCUCAUCUAAUCUAUUUGAUGCAGGACCUAACAAGUCUCUUGACUUGUUUCAACUCAGAAGAUUAAUCUGAUUAAAGAAAAAUUCUCACGAAUGUGUUGGACUGUCUUUUAUUUAAGAGUACCCACAGAUUAUUAUUUUAGCCACCAAAUCUACAGUGGUCAGGGUGCUGUUCAUCACGCAAACUUCCCUCAGUCGCUCAAACAUAAAUUGGUAAUUGUUCUCCAUGGAAUAGUUUUAGCGUUCGUACACUAAUUCAACAUCUUGUGUACAGUGUCUGUUGGUCUUAAAAGCUCACACGUAACUGACCAGAGCCUUUGAUAACGUUAUUGAAAGUAGCAUUAUUGACUUCUGAACGGAGAAGCUUUAAGUUUCCAGAAUUAAACCGAUGGCUUGUUUUUUAGUCAAACUCCCGUGCAUGAAAGCCAUUCAGCUGUUUGAGGGUGAUAUGAUAAUCACCACUGCACAGCAACAAGCCGCCCAGCAAGGACAAGAUCUUAUUUCGGCAGCAGCUGUUCGAGGAGCCUCAAAACAGUAUCUUUGGCCUGGAGGGAUCGUGCAUUAUUCAAUCGAACAGCAGCUAAGUAAUUUAUUGAAUGUAUCAAUCCUUAAACUUUUUCGUCAAUUAACAACACGCUUGCAGCUUUAAAAAUCCCUAGAAAUAAAAACUUAGUUUCAGUCAGACAUCGUAGAAAAAGUU